rnacentral:rRNA from 1 species
CCUACGGGAGGCAGCAGUGGGGAAUUUUGGACAAUGGGGGCAACCCUGAUCCAGCCAUUCCGCGUGAGUGAAGAAGGCCUUCGGGUUGUAAAGCUCUUUCGCAAGGGAAGAAACGAUACAAGCGAAUAACUUGUGUUAAUGACGGUACCUUGAUAAGAAGCACCGGCUAACUACGUGCCAGCAGCCGCGGUAAUACGUAGGGUGCAAGCGUUAAUCGGAAUUACUGGGCGUAAAGCGUGCGCAGGCGGUUUUGUAAGUCAGAUGUGAAAUCCCCGAGCUCAACUUGGGAACUGCGUUUGAAACUACAAGGCUAGAAUAUGUCAGAGGGGGGUAGAAUUCCACGUGUAGCAGUGAAAUGCGUAGAGAUGUGGAGGAAUACCAAUGGCGAAGGCAGCCCCCUGGGAUAAUAUUGACGCUCAUGCACGAAAGCGUGGGGAGCAAACAGGAUUAGAUACCCUGGUAGUCCACGCCCUAAACGAUGUCUACUAGUUGUUGGUGGAGUAAAAUCCAUGAGUAACGCAGCUAACGCGUGAAGUAGACCGCCUGGGGAGUACGGUCGCAAGAUUAAAACUCAAAGGAAUUGACCGGNNGAGAGNGACGACGACGACGACGAGGGAGGAGG